ACACACACACACACACACACACACACACACACACACACACACACACACACACACACACACACACACACACACAGAGAAAGGGACAUGAGAAGAGUGGGGGGAGGGAGGGGCAGAAGGGAGAGUCAGGUCAUGUCAUGACACACACACACAGAAAGGGAAAUGAGAAGGGCGGGGGGAGGGAGCGGCAGAAGGGAGAGUCAGGUCAUGUCAUGACACACACACACAGAAAGGGAAAUGAGAAGGGCGGGGGGAGGGAGCAGCAGAAGGGAGAGUCAGGUCACAUCUUGACCUGAGUCAGGUCGUAUCAUGACCAAAGCCCUCAUCCGAGAUUCCUUUCUGCCCCUCCCUCCCCACACCAUUCACAUUCCCCUUUUGUGUGUAUUUACCUAGUUGUAUUUACCUACUAUACAUUUCAGCGUCUGACAAACGCAGUAUGAUAUUUCAGCACACUACAAUUAACAUCCGGACCUAAUUUAUGGCUAACAUACCACAUUACUAUAUAUGUUAUGUGAGGAUUUUACUGACUGAUGUUAAGCCUAAUCCAGUCAUCAUACCUAAGGUGUUAUACAGAAUCGGACGAGUGCGGGGUACUUGUCUAGCCCCUCCACCAACGCCACGAACAACCCCCAGACCUCUCCUUCCCUACCCCAAUAUCGCAAUAUCCCCCUCCUCGUUUCCCUCUUCACCCCCCUACUCACACCAUCGCCCUUCCCCAGCCCGAGGCUAUGACUUGCAGAGGCAGGGUAUAACUCAUUGACUGCCGAGCCGCACCCACGUGUUGUACAGUUAUUAUCAACGUGAAAUAUGUCUUGCCUCCAUGGAACUGUACCAUGCUCUUAGUUAAUAAUCAUAUCUAUACAUAUACACCUACAUAACAUUCUAAUAUAUAAUACAGUGAUGGGAGAAACAGGGAGGGACACAAGAGUGAUGAGGGAGGCGAGGAGCUAGGGGAGAGGAGGGAUGAUGAGAGCGAGAAGGGGGAGAAGUAGUUGUGGUGAGGAAUAGUUUGGGAGGGUGUUGGGGGGGGGGGGGGGGGGAACACUUUCCUUCGAAUGUGUCAACAUGACUCGUCGGGUUUGUGUUGUUUUUCACAAGUAAACUCCUCACAUAACACACACAGUAUUGUGGCAUGUUAGCCAUAAAUUAGGUCCAGAUGUUAAUUGUAGUGUGCUGAAAUAUCAUACUGAUCCAAUGAUUCGUUUAGGAGAUAUUUGAGAAAAACUGCAUUUAUCCACCGCUGAAAUGUAUAGUAGUUGUGAUUUACAGGAACGGAUCUAUGCUCGUGCUGUUCUGUCUUUCCAUCUACUUCCGUCUAAUUUGGCCUUAAAUGCACUUAUUGACUUAGCCUGCACCACUUCCCUCUCCAGCCCAUUCCAGACCCCCACACAUCUCUGCGGGAAGCUGUUCUUCUUGAUGUCUCUUCCACAAUUUCCUUUCCUCAACAGUUUUCCAUUUCCUCUUAAGUCUCUUCUCUUAUCAAAAGGUCAUCUCUAUCCAAUUUCUCCAGGCCAUUCAUCACCCUAUACACCGCUAUCAAAUCUCCUCUUUCUCUUUUAAUUUCCAAUGUCAGGAGGUUCAGCCUCUGCAGUCUUUCUUCAUAAGGCAGGCCGCUCAGACUAGUUGCCAUUUUUAUUGCAGCUCUCUGUAUCCUCUCCAGUUUUCUAGCGUGUUUCUGAAGUGAUGGCGACCAAGCCACUGAUGCAUAUUCUAGUCUAGGGCGUAUCAAGGUCACAAUUAAUUUCCUAACCAUGUCCUCAUCAAGGUAUGUUAACACCGCUCUGAUGUUCCUCAGCAGGUUGUAUGUCUCAGCUGAUAUUUUACUCACAUGUCUUUCUGGAGACAAGUUCUCUGUGUGUGUGUGUGUGUGUGUGUGUGUGUGUGUGUGUGUGUGUGUGUGUGUGUGUGACAAGUCAGGACAUGACCUGACCCAAAGCCCUGAUCUGACUCCUUUCUGCCCCAUCCUCCCCCACAUCCUUCUCAUUUCACCUUCUGUGUGCGUGUGACAGGUAUGGACAUGACCUGACUUGACUUCUUUCUGACCCUACCUCCCCACACCCUUCUCCUUGUUUUCAUCCUCUCUAUCUCACACUUCCUCUUGAGUCGGGGGCUUGCAUGGUAUUGAGGCUGUGCCGAGUUGAACCAAACGCGACAGGGAGGAGGCGGCUCUCUCUCUCUCUCUCUCUCUCUCUCUCUCUCUCUCUCUCUCUCUCUCUCUCUCUCUCUCUAGCCAUAGCCACAAUGUUUGGAGGAAAA